rnacentral:sRNA from 1 species
AGUGCGGAGGAGGCGCGGCAGGGGCCGGGGCUGUUGUUGCAGGGCGGCCCAGACAGGACGCCCUGUCUCCUUUCUCUCCUACAACCGCUUUUUAAAAGUCUGUUUCUGUUUUUAGCAGCGGCUGCCGGCCUCGGCGUCCUCCACCUACGGGGAUGACCUGGCUUCUGUGGCCCCGGGGCCUUUACAGCAGGACGUGAAGCUGAAUGGAGCCGGCCUUGAGGUGGUGGACUCAGACCCUGAGCCUGAAGGGGAGGCGGAGGACAGUCAGAGCGGCUUCUCUUCCUAACGGCUGCCCUGCUGAGAGCAGGACGACACCAUCUGGCUGCAUCCUGUCCCUAUCAGCCUGUGACUCUGCAUGGUGGGUGGGCAGACCUCAGCCCAGGUGACACCUGCCUCUAAAUGAACCCAAGGAACAGAAUGACAGAGAUCUGCCCGUCCCUAGGAUGAGACUCUUGGGACCCAGGUGUGGGCUCAGCAGUCAUCGGUGUGGUGCAGGGGGGACAGCUGGAGGCCCCUUGGGAGAUCCCCCACCUUCCUAGCUACAGCUGGAGCUCCAAGCACCCCAACCCCCCAGCCUUGGAGCUGGGCAUCAUUUUCCUGGGGCCACGGCAGCUCCCACAGCCUGACAUUCUGUUCCCGGGAGAAGAAACAUUCCCAGAAAGCACUCGUGUGGCCAAAAGCCUCUUUCUGAGCAAACACGAUGUGGACUAAAUUAGCAAAACAUCCAGCCCGUGGGCAACUUCAAAACGGAACAGGCUGCGUUUCUCUGAAACACAAAGCCCCGGCCUCCCUUUGGGGCACCCAGGACCCCAAAUUGCCCUAAGACUGUCCCAGCUCUCGCACCCUCUGCCUUCGCCCCCCGGGGACCUCGGGCUCACAUCACAAGGCCCUGCG